rnacentral:sRNA from 1 species
AUUUGGUGAUCCUGGUUCUUUCGGCCGUUCACGUCAUUGUGUGCACCUCAGCUGAAAGUUCGUGCUACUUCUGUAGCCUCUCGUGGCUGGCGGCAGGUGGGGUGAUGGUGCUGGCCUCGGCGCUGCUGUGUGUGAUUGUGUCUGUUCUGACCAACGUGCUCGUGGGUGGAAACACCCCAAGGAAGGUACGUACGGCUGGUUCCUGGGAAUGUGACGUGGUCCUUCUGCUCAGGCUGUUCUUGUUAUUUCAGGCUGCCUUUCAUUUACCAAACUUUGGUUGAACACCUGGUGUGUGCCAAGUGCUGGCAGUGCUCUGGACAGGGGGCCUCAGGGAAGGACGUGGAGCAGCCUUAUCCCAGGCCUCUGGGUGUCCUGACACAGGUGUUCACAUCUGUGCUGUCAGGUCAGAUGCCUUCGUUCUUGGAAAGCUAGGUUCCUGCGACUGUUAGCAAGGUGAUUGUAAAGAACUGGCGGUCACAGAGGAAUGUGCCCCCACUGAGGGGGUGUGUGAAUCAGACAGCCUCCCAGCAGAAGUGUGGGAGCUGCAGCUGAGGGAAGAAGAGACAAUCGGCCUGGACACUCAGGAGGGUCAAAAGGAGACUUGGUG